UACGUAGGGGGCAAGCGUUAUCCGGAUUUACUGGGUGUAAAGGGAGCGUAGACGGCAGCGCAAGUCUGGAGUGAAAGGCGGGGGCCCAACCCCCGGACUGCUCUGGAAACUAUGUGACUGGAGUGCAGGAGAGGUGAGCAGAAUUCCUAGUGUAGCGGUGAAAUGCGUAGAUAUUAGGAGGAACACCAGUGGCGAAGGCGGCUCACUGGACUGUAACUGACGUUGAGGCUCGAAAGCAUGGGUAGCGAACAGG
rnacentral:rRNA from 1 species